GCAAGCAGGGGAUCGUAAGACCUUGUGCUUUUGGAGCGGCCGAUGCCUGAUUAGCUAGUUGGUAGGGUAAGAGCCUACCAAGGCUACGAUCAGUAGUUGGUCUGAGAGGACGACCAGCCACACUGGGACUGAGACACGGCCCAGACUCCUACGGGAGGCAGCAGUGGGGAAUUUUGGACAAUGGGCGAAAGCCUGAUCCAGCAAUGCCGCGUGAGUGAAGAAGGCCUUCGGGUUGUAAAGCUCUUUCAGUCGAGAAGAAAAGGUUGUGACUAAUAAUCACAAUUCAUGACGGUAUCGACAGAAGAAGCACCGGCUAACUACGUGCCAGCAGCCGCGGUAAUACGUAGGGUGCAAGCGUUAAUCGGAAUUACUGGGCGUAAAGGGUGCGCAGGCGGCUUUGUAAGUCAGAUGUGAAAUCCCCGGGCUUAACCUGGGAAUUGCGUUUGAAACUACAAGGCUAGA
rnacentral:rRNA from 1 species